CCCUUAGAUGUUCUGGGCCGCACGCGCGCUACACUGACGGAUUCAACGAGCUUACAACCUUGGCCGAAAGGUCUGGGUAAUCUCCAAAAUCCGUCGUGAUGGGGAUAGAUUAUUGCAAUUAUUAAUCUUCAACGAGGAAUGCCUAGUAAGCGCAAGUCAACAGCUUGCGUUGAUUACGUCCCUGCCCUUUGUACACACCGCCCGUCGCCACUACUGAUUGGAUGUUUAAGCGAGGUUCUCGAACUGCUAGCGACUUAGCUUCGGUGAGGUCGCAGUGUGGGAAGUGAACCUAGCUUUGGUGUCUAGAGGAAGUAAAAGUCGUAACA
rnacentral:rRNA from 1 species